rnacentral:rRNA from 1 species
AGACGUCUACAUUAGAUACCCCCGUAGUCCCAGCCGUAAACUAUGCGCGUUAGGUGUAUCGGUGACCACGAGUCACCGAGGUGCCGAAGGGAAACCGUGAAACGUGCCGCCUGGGAAGUACGGUCGCAAGGCUGAAACUUAAAGGAAUUGGCGGGGGAGCACCGCAACGGGUGGAGCCUGCGGUUUAAUUGGACUCAACGCCGGACAACUCACCGGGGACGACAGCAAUAUGUAGGCCAGGCUGAAGACCUUGCCUGAAUCGCUG